UAAUCGCUUGUGGUCCUACAAGUUUGACAAUUUAUGUGUUCAUAGUUGUUCAUGAUAUUUAUAAGCUAGGUAUUGCACUGGAAGGAAGUAAUUGAUCUACAUGUUGAAAGAUAACAUACAUAAUAAUCAAGAUCUUCGCGCAUGCAUGGUUGAAGAUUUGAUAGUGCAGAAAGCUAGCUAGCUAGAUUCCUAAUAAAUUCUCCAUAUGUAAGGUACUGUGAAUAUGCGUGCAUAUCCAAUUUGCUAGUCAAGUACUUGUUGAAGCAUAACCUGAUGAGCAUCGAUCUCUUCUUAUUUUGCUGGUUUGUGAAGCCUGUACGCGCGUUUAUGAGACCGGUGGGGAUUACUCAGUAGUCAGUCCCUCUUAGAUGAAAGAGUCCACUUUCUCCAAAUGGUAGCGAUUUUACCUUCGCCAGCUCUGAGAUACAGGCGUGGCGAGGCCAUCAAGCUGUCCGAUAGAAGCGAAGCGUAGCAUCAGACGCGAGUAGGAGAGGUAGGUUGCUGGGGUGGGAGGGAAUAGAAGAUUGUGCUGGACUUCAGGGGGAGGGUUUUGGGUUUGUUUCCGGAGAGGUGGUUAUUCAAUUUCUGCUUUGAGUAUAAAACUGUGCAUCGAUCGAGUUAGAAUUGCGCUGCCUCUUCUUAAUAUCCAGAGGUGUGGAUGUAGGAAUCAAACUUCAAAUAUGGACCGGCCUUGCUCGCCUCUACGACAAAGGGGUCUCAGUAAACUCUACACCUUGAAAACCCUACUUCUCUUAACUGUGAAUGAGGAGACAUUCUGCUUAUUCUUUGCUUUGGAGUUGGGGUAGGAUAGAGUGAAUGCAGAAAAGCAUGUACAACAACUGUGGUUUCUGUUAAUGCAUGACCUGCUACUGCUGUCCAAAGAUUGCAGCAGAAUCCUUGGUACAGUGUCCAUAGAAAUAAUUUGUCCUCCUUUUCUAUACAACACUAGCAUGGGCAUGCAGACUUACUGGAAGGAUAUGCACUGAGCAUCAAGGGAAGAGCAUUAGAAAGGGGUAGGGUUGAAGGAGCUUUUGGUCUAUUCUGCAUCUGGGAGCUCCAAGGGGAAGGACACUACAAUCAGAGACCAAGUUUCAGUGCUAUGAACCUGCAACCAUGAAAUACUUUGGAUAUUACCAUGCAUUGACACCUGAUGAGGUCAAGGAGCCUGUAGCACUAGCAAGGAAGGCACAAAAAACAUCGGCAAAGAUCAAGCAAAGACGCAUGUUUCUUCGGAAUACUCUCUAAGUAUAUAAUAGAACACCCAUACCUUAUAUGUGAGUUCAGGUACGGUACAUCUGAAAGAGAGAGAGAGAGGUUGUUUGCCUGGCAGAAAGAGAGACAGAGAGGUUGUUCCCUCAAUAGACAUUGAUUUUGCUCAGGCAUUGCUGAGAUUGAUAUUGAUUUUGGGGCAUUUGGAUUUUCAAUCAGGAUGCGAUUGUAUGAGACGAUAGAGAUGAGAGUGCAUAUGGACUGCCCCGGAUGCGAGAGCAAGGCUAGAAGUACACUUCAGAAGCUAAAAGAUACGUCAAUUCUGGUUAUCUGAUUAAGGAAUAUCACAACCUAGCUAAUAAUUAAGUUCGACUGACCCGAUCAGAGUACGGAAAACAUGAUCAUGCCUCCAAUCCAUUUGGUGAAUUACAGAUCGAUUGUUUGUAUGUUGUUUUGGUUUAGGUAUCGACAACGUUGAGAUAGACAUGGCCCUGCAGAAGGUCACAGUGACCAGGUGGGCACGGGCAAGAGGGUUGUCUUUUUGAAGCAGCUUUCUUCUGGCUUGCUUUUGGUCACUGACAGGUGAACCAAUCUUAUGUUAUUGGAACUUCAACCAAGGUUGACAGCUCUGGUGUUAACAUGGAGAAGUUUGAUGACAAGUACUUUGCCAAGGAGGGUCAAAAGAAGAAAAAGAAGGGAGAAGGAAAGUUCUUUGAAGUGGAGAAGGAGCUGAGCUCUUCCUGAGGAAUUGGAUUUCUGCAGUGUUGAAGAGGACAUGGUGGAGGAUUCCCUUAUGAAGUUUGAUGGAGAUUCUUCUACUCCAUUGUUGUUUGAAUAAGCUCACUUGCACUUGGGGCAGACUGACAAGACGGUGAAGGUGGUGAGGGAAGGUGGAAAGGUGGUCACAAUAGUAGGUCCAGUAAUGCCUCCGGCGUUCAGAUUUGUGCUCACCCCUACAGGUUCUAUCUUGGAGAAACUGAAGCCGUACUCGGGGAGCAGGAAGGUGAAGCCAGUGCUUGAUCCCACAGGUCCAUAUCACUUUUAUAAAGUUGUUGAAGCACUUGGUUACCUUGAGACUUCAAGAGCUACAGGAAAGGUUGUUGUGUACCCCAUCCCAUGAGAUCGAGACUCGCUGUCUAUAAUCUAGGAUUUCUAUUACAGAUUUAGUCGAUUUUUACUGUAUGUGUGCAGCAGUUACUUGGAAGACUUGUAGUACGGGGAUGUAAGAGAUGCUUGUUAUAUAUCUAGAAUCAGAGCUUCCUGUUUGCUUUGUUC